AGUCGAUAGGCGUAAUGGUAAGAAGAGAAGCAAAAAAACCCAUUUUUUUCCUAUAUUUCACUCUUCUCAACCGUGGGAUUGAGCAUCAAAGGCGGAGAACAGUAUCGUGGAGAUCAUCGUCAGGGAGCGGGAGGAGGUUGAGAUCGAAAGGCAGCGGCGGCCGGCACAUCAACACGACAUCGCCAUCAUCAUCGAUGACGGAGGAGGAGGAGCCGCAGUCGCUGUGGCAGUCGUCGUCGCCGUUGAGCACGCGCGGGGGAGGCGGUGGGUUGGCCUGCCUCUUGAGGAUAGGUGGCCGGAGGCGGAUAGGCGCCGCCGCAGACGGGAGCCGCGGCCCGCUGAAUGACUCCACGG
rnacentral:lncRNA from 1 species